rnacentral:rRNA from 1 species
AGGGUGUAAACGCUGCAGACUUGGUGUUGGAGGCCCUUUGGGGGCGAUUCAGUGCCGGAGAGAAGUUGUUAAGUCUGCUACUUGGGGAGUACGUCCGCAAGGAUGAAACUUAAAGGAAUUGGCGGGGGGAGGCACCACAACGGGUGGAGCCUGCGGGUUUAAUUGGACUCAACGCCGGGAAGCUCACCGGAUAAGACAGCGGAAUGAUUGCCGGGCUGAAGACUCUGCAUGACUAGCUGAGAGGUGGUGCAUGGCGUAGACGUGU